GAUGAACGCUAGCGAUAGGCUUAACACAUGCAAGUCGAGGGGCAGCACAAGGUAGCUUGCUAUCUGGGUGGCGACCGGCGCACGGGUGCGUAACGCGUAUGCAACUUGCCCUAUACAGGAGGAUAACCCGUCGAAAGACGGACUAAUACUGCGUAUGCUCACAACUUGGCAUCAAGUGGUGAGGAAAGAAAUUCGGUAUAGGAUAGGCAUGCGUCCCAUUAGCUUGUUGGUGAGGUAACGGCUCACCAAGGCAACGAUGGGUAGGGGAACUGAGAGGUUUAUCCCCCACACUGGUACUGAGACACGGACCAGACUCCUACGGGAGGCAGCAGUGAGGAAUAUUGGUCAAUGGGCGCGAGCCUGAACCAGCCAAGUCGCGUGAAGGAUGACUGUCUUAUGGAUUGUAAACUUCUUUUAUACGGGAAUAACAAGAGUCACGGGUGACUCCCUGCAUGUACCGGAUGAAUAAGCAUCGGCUAACUCCGUG
rnacentral:rRNA from 1 species